rnacentral:lncRNA from 1 species
CAAACGUCCAACUAAUGAAGACUGUCAACGUAAUAGACAAUUUUACUUGCAUCAUUAGUGUAGAGUACAUAAGAACGUAUUAAACACUUUGUGGAUCUAUCAAUGUUCACAUGUUAAUAAAAAUCAAAUGUAAUUGGCCAAAACUGAAAAUUGGAUUCCAAUUUGAUCGAUGGUCCUAUGCCUUGUUCUAAAGUAUGGUUGAUGAGGCCAAUCAGAUGCAACGAAUUGAAGCUUCAUGAUCGAUGAAACGAUAUAAAUCUCGAAAGGCAUAAAAGGCAGCCAAGAUUUGAGAUCUAAUGGCUCAAAAGCAUUGCAUCUACAUCGGAUUCAAUUUCAUAAAAUAUUAACCAAUUAAAUUUAAAGCCUAGGUUAGUGUGUGGGGGCAAUUUGGCAAUGGCCUCAUUCGUUGAGCUAAUUAGAAAUAAGCCCCAACUAGCCUAA